rnacentral:rRNA from 1 species
GAUGAACGCUAGCGGCAGGCCUAACACAUGCAAGUCGAGGGGUAGAACACUUCGGUGUUUGAGACCGGCGCACGGGUGCGUAACGCGUAUGCAAUCUACCUUGUACAGGGGAAUAGCCCAGAGAAAUUUGGAUUAAUGCCCCAUAGUAUAUAACCUUCGCAUGUUGGUUAUAUUAAAGUUCCAACGGUACAAGAUGAGCAUGCGUCCCAUUAGUUAGUUGGUAAGGUAACGGCUUACCAAGACGAUGAUGGGUAGGGGUCCUGAGAGGGGGAUCCCCCACACUGGUACUGAGACACGGACCAGACUCCUACGGGAGGCAGCAGUGAGGAAUAUUGGUCAAUGGUCGCAAGACUGAACCAGCCAUGCCGCGUGCAGGAAGACGGUCCUAUGGAUUGUAAACUGCUUUUAUACAGGAAGAAACCCUCCCACGUGUGGGAGCUUGACGGUACUGUAGGAAUAAGGAUCGGCUAACUCCGUGCCAGCAGCCGCGGUAAAAC